CCUCACUUGACUCUUGCACGGGAAGGGCAGGAUUGUUUUCUGAGGGUUUUUUUUUCUUCCCGACAGGCGAUACUUUGUAGAUUUGAAUAGCAUGAAGGAGCAUUUCAAAUCUAAAGUUCACAAAAGAAGGCUGAAGCAGCUGAGUGAGGAGCCUUACACCCAGGAGGAAGCAGAGAGAGCAGCUGGCAUGGGCUCCUACAUUCCCCCAAAGAAGAUAGAAGUACAGACUCAACCACUGGAAGUGGAGGAAUCUGGCUAAAUGGGGAGGCUUUGAGACUGUCCUGUGGUUAGAAAGUGGCCUUGACUUCACCACUUCACCUUGUGGCAGGUUCUUUUCUGAGUUCGGCAGGUGUCUCCACAAACACCCCUCCACCCUGCCACCAGCAUAACUAACUCAGCUGUUCUCGUUAAUCCUUCAGCAAGGGGUCGUGCGCUGACCGGUGGAAACCUUGGGCCCCUUGUGUUUGGUAGAUAGCUCUUCGGCAGCAUGGGCAUACAGUGCAGCCAGAGGCCCAGGGAGGAGAGGAGCCCUGUCCUGCUGUGCUAAUGAGCUGAUGGCUCCAAUCUUCUCUCCAUGUGCGCUGGUAUUUCGAGCAGUGGAUGCUGCUCUUGGUUCCGCGUGCGACCCCUGUAAUUACCCAUCAACUUAUCGUAAUAAACGGGCGGCAGCUGCUGAAUGA